AGUGAACGCUGGCGGUAGGCCUAACACAUGCAAGUCGAACGGCAGCACAGGAGAGCUUGCUCUCUGGGUGGCGAGUGGCGGACGGGUGAGGAAUACAUCGGAAUCUACUUUUUCGUGGGGGAUAACGUAGGGAAACUUACGCUAAUACCGCAUACGACCUACGGGUGAAAGCAGGGGAUCUUCGGACCUUGCGCGAUUGAAUGAGCCGAUGUCGGAGUAGCUAGUUGGCGGGGUAAAGGCCCACCAAGGCGACGAUCCGUAGCUGGUCUGAGAGGAUGAUCAGCCACACUGGAACUGAGACACGGUCCAGACUCCUACAGGAGGCAGCAGUGGGGAAUAUUGGACAAUGGGCGCAAGCCUGAUCCAGCCAUACCGCGUGGGUGAAGAAGGCCUUCGGGUUGUAAAGCCCUUUUGUUGGGAAAGAAAUCCAGCCGGCUAAUACCUGGUUGGGAUGACGGUACCCAAAGAAUAAGCACCGGCUAACUUCGUGCCAGCCGCCGCAGUAA
rnacentral:rRNA from 1 species